UACGGGGGGAGCAAGCGUUGUUCGGAUUUACUGGGCGUAAAGGGCGCGUAGGCGGGCGCAACAAGUCACUUGUGAAAUCUCCGGGCUUAACCCGGAGCGGUCAAGUGAUACUGUCGUGCUAGAGUGCGGAAGGGGCUACUGGAAUUCCUGGUGUAGCGGUGGAAUGCGCAGAGUAUCAGGAGGAACACCGAUGGCGAAGGCAGAUCUCUGGGCCCGUAACUGACGCUGAGGAGCGGAAAGCAUGGGGAGCGAACAGG
rnacentral:rRNA from 1 species